UACGUAGGGGCAAGCGUUGUCCGGAUUUAUUUGGGCGUAAAGAGCUCGUAGGCGGUUCGGUAAGUCGGGUGUGAAACCUCCAGGCUCAACCUGGAGACGCCACCCGAUACUGCUGUGACGUAGAGUCCGGUAGGGGAGCGUGGAAUUCCGGAGUGUAGAGGUGAAAUUCGUAGAUAUUCGCAAGAACACCAGUGGCGAAGGCGGCUCACUGGCCCGAUACUGACGCUGAGGAGCGAAAGCGUGGGGAGCGAACGAGG
rnacentral:rRNA from 1 species